rnacentral:rRNA from 1 species
CUACGGGCCGCACCAGUGGGGAAUAUUGGGCAAUGGGCGCAAGCCUGACCCAGCAACGCCGCGUGAGGGAAGAAUGUCUUCGGAUUGUAAACCUCUGUCCUUGGGGACGAAAAAAAUGACGGUACCCAAGGAGGAAGCUCCGGCUAACUACGUGCCAGCAGCCGCGGUAAUACGUAGGGAGCAAGCGUUGUCCGGAAUUAUUGGGCGUAAAGGGUGCGUAGGCGGCGCUGUAAGUCAGAUGUGAAAUCCCCGGGCUUAACUCGGGAGUUGCAUUUGAAACUACAGUGCUUGAGUAAAGAAGGGGUAAGUGGAAUUCCUAGUGUAGCGGUGGAAUGCGUAGAUAUUAGGAGGAACACCAGUGGCGAAGGCAACUUACUGGUCUUUUACUGACGCUGAGGCACGAAAGCGUGGGGAGCAAACAGGAUUAGAUACCCCUGUAGUC